rnacentral:rRNA from 1 species
AGAGUUUGAUCCUGGCUCAGGACGAACGCUGGCGGCGUGCCUAAUACAUGCAAGUCGAGCGAGUCUGCCUUGAAGAUCGGAGUGCUUGCACUCUGUGAAACAAGAUACAGGCUAGCGGCGGACGGGUGAGUAACACGUGGGUAACCUGCCCAAGAGAUCGGGAUAACACCUGGAAACAGAUGCUAAUACCGGAUAACAACAGAUGAUGCCUAUCAACUGUUUAAAAGAUGGUUCUGCUAUCACUCUUGGAUGGACCUGCGGUGCAUUAGCUAGUUGGUAGGGUAACGGCCUACCAAGGCGAUGAUGCAUAGCCGAGUUGAGAGACUGAUCGGCCACAUUGGGACUGAGACACGGCCCAAACUCCUACGGGAGGCAGCAGUAGGGAAUCUUCCACAAUGGACGCAAGUCUGAUGGAGCAACGCCGCGUGAGUGAAGAAGGGUUUCGGCUCGUAAAGCUCUGUUGUUGGUGAAGAAUGACAGGGGUAGUAACUGACCUUUGUUUGACGGUAAUCAAUUAGAAAGUCACGGCUAACUACGUGCCAGCCGCCGCGGUAA